rnacentral:lncRNA from 1 species
CUCCCUUUUUUCUCCAUUUUUAAUUUAAAUUAGAAACAAGAUUGUUUUACAUGUCAAUCCCAGUUCCCUCUCUUUCCCUUCUUCCCUGAACCCCUUCACCUAACACCCUAUAUAAUCCCAUACCUUUCUGCUCCACAGUGAGGGUGAGGCCUUCUAUAAGGGAUCCUCAGAGUCAGUCCUAUCCUUUGGGAUAGGGCCUAGGUCCUCCCCUGAGUGUCUAGGCUCAGAGAUAUACCUCUAUGUGGUAUGGGCUCCAAAAGUGCAUUCCUAUCUAGGGAUAAGUACUGAUCUACUACAAGAGGCCCCAUAGAUCCCCAAGGUCUCCUUACUAACACCCAUGUUCAUGGUGUCUGGAUUAGUCUCAUGCUGGUUUCUCAGCUUUCAGUCUGGAGAGUAAGAGCUCCCCCUUGUUCAGGUCAGCUGUUUCUGCAGAGUUCACCUGCCUUGUCUUGACCACUUUGAUUAUCACUCCUCCUUCUCUGUAACUGGAUUCUAUUUCAGUUCAGUGUUUAGCUGUGGGUGUCUGCUUCUACUUGCAUCAGCUGCUGGAUGAAGGCUUUAGGAUGGCAUAUAAGUUAGUCAUCAAUCUCAUUAUCAGAAGGGGCAUUUAAGGUAGCCUCUCCUCUGUAGCUUAGAUUGUUAGUUGGUGUCAUCGUGAUAGAUCUCCAGAUAUUUCCCUAGUGCCUGAUUUCUAUUUAAACCUAUAAUGCCUUCUCUAUUGUGUUAUCUCUUGUCUUGCUCUCCUCUAAUCCUCACUUAAAAAAAAAAAUCUCUGAUUGGUACAGAACAAUGAGGAUGUUGCAGUCUCCAAUGUUCAUUUGUGUAUUUCAGGUUCCAGGCCAUCAUAUGAUUCAAAAGUGGAACUAUAUUCAAUACUUUGUGAAGAUAUUUCGUCAAAAGGUCAUGAAAUGUAUGAUGAUGUAUGUUGUGAAGACUACUUUUCAUUGGAUUGUAUGGAAGAUACAGAAUCCAUGAGCAUGAUGAACAACUCAGAUUUUUCCACCAAGAAUCCCAAGUUGCAAAAUGACCACAAAGGUUUUGGAGAAAAUGCCAUUCUGCACCUGAUUUCCCUCCAAAAGGCAAAUGGCUCCUGGGAACUGGAUGAGGAACUGACUGAGAUCCUGGGCACUAGUUUGGAAGACAUAAAGGCUGCAAAUCCUGCCAAGGAUCAGGACCCCUCAGUCUGGGCCACAGUGCUGGCUGUGCUCUGGCUGCAUGCCAAUGGCAAAGACUUGAAGUGUGAGUGGGAACUUCUGGAAAGGAAGGCAGUGGCCUGGCUCCAUGACCAUGCAGACUCCUCCAACCCCAUGCUAGUGCAAGCUGCCAAUAGUUUUCUGAAACUGUCUGUGACUCCCGAUGACCUUGUCUUCUGAGACUGCAACCCAAGAAUCAAGAGUAUCACUUUAUUAUGACUAUGUCCCUCCCAUGUCCCUUGGCAGAGAUAGCAUUUGGUUUUUAUCUUUACCUUUUUCAUUCUUCUCAUAACAAUAAAGGCUAUCUGCCCAGGCUUGCUAAUCUAUUCCAGAGCCCAUUGGAUCUGAUAUAC